AGAGUAGGACAAAUGACCGCUGCUUUGCCUUCGGGCAGAGGGGAGGAAAGUCCGGGCUCCGUAGGACAGGGUGCUGGGUAACGCCCAGUCCUGGCGACAGGAAGGAAAGUGCCACAGAAAGGAGACCGCCCAAGUGAAUACCCAUUCACCUGGGUAAGGGUGAAAGGGUGAGGUAAGAGCUCACCAGUCCCAUCGGUGACGAUGGGAGCUCGGCAAACCCCACCUGGAGCAAGGCCAAAUAGGGGGACGUCCGAGGGUUGUCCGCCCGAGUCCCCGGGUAGGUCGCUUGAUCUCGAUGGCAACAUCGAGACUAGAUGAAUGGUCAUUGCCCCCCAGCCCUUACCAUGUGAGGUCCGGGGGGAACAGAACCCGGCUUAUGGACUGCUCUAACA
rnacentral:RNase_P_RNA from 1 species